rnacentral:lncRNA from 1 species
AGGGUCUCACUUGAACUUAUAUGGCUGAGGAAGACCCUGAAUUCCCCGAUCUUCCUGUCUCUACCUCCCAACUACCAGGACCAGUCCUUCAGGGGCUUCAGAAAAGGCUUUGUUGUCACAGGCAAGGAGGCUGCAGCUGUGUCCUGCUCCCGAAACACCUCCCCAUGAGCAAGGCUAUUAUAACAAGAAUCAAAACAUUGAAAAACAAAACACAAGGCCCUUAAAACGACUUCUCCAGUUCCUCUCAGCACGACGUCCAAUCCAGGAACAGGGCCCAGCUGGCUUCAGUGGGAGCCACAGCCUUGUGACUUCAAGAGAUCAAGAUAGGGUGGAGACAGAGGAGGAACGGGCCUCAGUCACGUGCUUCCUGAAGAAUCCCAGUGUCAGCAUGGAACUUCUGUCCCUAACUCUUCUUCCUCAAGUACGAGGACCGCAAUAAACUAACCUUUUGUUUAUAUGCCUAAUGAAUUAAGUCGAUUAGCAGGAAUAUCUUACAGGGACAACAUAAACCAAACCAUCAGCUGUUACAGUCCAGGGAUUCAUAAAAAGUGGAGUGGCAGGACUGGAAAGCAGCUCUGAGUUAGGGAGUUUUUCUAGCAUGCCCAAGGCCCUCCUAGGCUGGACAUUCAAGACCGAAGAGGCUCCGGGGCCCCCGGGCACACACAGCCCACUACACCGGCUUUAGGUUAAGGACGAGCAAUGUGCACAUUACCAGAGACCUCUCCUCAUCUUCACUUACAGGGACUUGAGUAUUAAAGUGCCUAUAGCUCAUCUUUCCCUUGGCCCCAUGAUUAAAUCCAGAAAAGAAACAUCGUGUGAUGUUCUUGCAAGACCUCACAAGGCUAGAGGAGACAGAGGCGAC